UACAGAGGUCACAAGCGUUGUUCGGAUUCAUUGGGCGUAAAGGGUGCGUAGGUGGCGCCGUAAGUCGGGUGUGAAAUUUCGGAGCUUAACUCCGAAACUGCAUUCGAUACUGCGGUGCUUGAGGACUGGAGAGGAGACUGGAAUUCAUGGUGUAGCAGUGAAAUGCGUAGAGAUCAUGAGGAAGACCAGUGGCGAAGGCGGGUCUCUGGACAGUUCCUGACACUGAGGCACGAAGGCCAGGGGAGCAAACGGG
rnacentral:rRNA from 1 species